rnacentral:rRNA from 1 species
UUAAAUUGAAGAGUUUGAUCAUGGCUCAGAUUGAACGCUGGCGGCAGGCCUAACACAUGCAAGUCGAACGGUAACAGAAAGAAGCUUGCUUCUUUGCUGACGAGUGGCGGACGGGUGAGUAAUGUCUGGGAAACUGCCUGAUGGAGGGGGAUAACUACUGGAAACGGUAGCUAAUACCGCAUAACGUCGCAAGACCAAAGAGGGGGACCUUCGGGCCUCUUGCCAUCGGAUGUGCCCAGAUGGGAUUAGCUAGUAGGUGGGGUAACGGCUCACCUAGGCGACCGAUCCCUAGGCUGGUCUGAGAGGAUGACCAGCCACACUGGAACUGAGACACGGUCCAGACUCCUACGGGAG